rnacentral:rRNA from 1 species
GACGAACCGUGCGAACGUUAUUCGGAAUCACUGGGCGUAAAGCGCACGUAGGCGGCUUUUUAAGUCAGGGGUGAAAUCCUGGAGCUCAACUCCAGAACUGCCUUUGAUACUGGCGAUCUUGAGUCCGGGAGAGGUGAGUGGAACUGCGAGUGUAGAGGUGAAAUUCGUAGAUAUUCGCAAGAACACCAGUGGCGAAGGCGGCUCACUGGUCCGGUUCUGACGCUGAGGCGCGAAAGCGUGGGGAGCAAACAGG